rnacentral:sRNA from 1 species
UACCAGAUGGAUUUCCGAUUGGAGAGGGU